UCUAUCCAUUUAUUUUGUGUGUAUAAAUAUUUCCUUCGCAAGAAAGUAGAGAGAGAGAAGAAAAGAGGGCCGGAUGAAUAUGUACAGACGAAGAUUUAGAAGGGAGAAAGGCGGCUAUCGUUCCAGAUCCUCCGACGUCAUUCUCUUUCUUGGCUGGAAGCUGCUGGCUGGCUGACUGGCUGUUGCUAAGCCGGCCAUCGAGAGAAAACCGCCGUUACUUAUUGCCAUGAGUCUAACGAAAAGCAGCCCGAAAUAGCAACGCCGCCAGCUCUUUAAGGACCAAUAAAAUUUAAAAAAAAACAAGAAAAACCCCAACUGUUGGCCGCUAGACAAGGGCGACCUGAGCGAUUC